GAUGAACGCUGGCGGCGUGCCUAAUACAUGCAAGUCGAGCGAACGGACGAGAAGCUUGCUUCUCUGAUGUUAGCGGCGGACGGGUGAGUAACACGUGGAUAACCUACCUAUAAGACUGGGAUAACUUCGGGAAACCGGAGCUAAUACCGGAUAAUAUUUUGAACCGCAUGGUUCAAAAGUGAAAGACGGUCUUGCUGUCACUUAUAGAUGGAUCCGCGCUGCAUUAGCUAGUUGGUAAGGUAACGGCUUACCAAGGCAACGAUGCAUAGCCGACCUGAGAGGGUGAUCGGCCACACUGGAACUGAGACACGGUCCAGACUCCUACGGGAGGCAGCAGUAGGGAAUCUUCUGCAAAGGGCGAAAGCCUGACGGAGCAACGCCGCGUGAGUGAUGAAGGUCUUCGGAUCGUAAAACUCUGUUAUUAGGGAAGAACAUAUGUGUAAGUAACUGUGCACAUCUUGACGGUACCUAAUCAGAAAGCCACGGCUAACUACGUG
rnacentral:rRNA from 1 species